rnacentral:rRNA from 1 species
GCUUUCUCUCGGGUGACGAGUGGCGGACGGGUGAGUAAUGUCUGGGAAACUGCCUGAUGGAGGGGGAUAACUACUGGAAACGGUAGCUAAUACCGCAUAACGUCUCAAGACCAAAGAGGGGGACCUUCGGGCCUCUCGCCAUCAGAUCUGCCCAGAUGGGAUUAGCUAGUAGGUGGGGUAACGGCUCACCUAGGCGACGAUCCCUAGCUGGUCUGAGAGGAUGACCAGCCACACUGGAACUGAGACACGGUCCAGACUCCUACGGGAGGCAGCAGUGGGGAAUAUUGCACAAUGGGGGCAAGCCUGAUGCAGCCAUGCCGCGUGUAUGAAGAAGGCCUUCGGGUUGUAAAGUACUUUCAGCCGGAGAGGAAGGUGCAGUGGUUAAUAACCGCAGCAAUUGACGUACCCGCAGAAGAAGCC